GAUCAUGGCUCAGGAUGAACGCUAGCUACAGGCUUAACACAUGCAAGUCGAGGGGCAGCAUGACCUAGCAAUAGGUUGAUGGCGACCGGCGCACGGGUGAGUAACACGUAUCCAACCUACCGGUUAUUCCGGGGAUAGCCUUUCGAAAGAAAGAUUAAUACCGGAUGGUAUAACGAGAAGGCAUCUUCUUGUUAUUAAAGAAUUUCGAUAACCGAUGGGGAUGCGUUCCAUUAGGUUUGUUGGCGGGUAACGGCC
rnacentral:rRNA from 1 species